GCCAGCAGCAAGCUCUCUGCAACUCUCACAUGGUCGCCUACUGAAGCUAAGCAGGGCUGCGCCAGGUCAGUCCCUGGAUGGGAGACCACAUGGGAAAGCUAGGUUGCUGCCGGAA
rnacentral:rRNA from 1 species